rnacentral:lncRNA from 1 species
AUGCAAAUGCGAUGAAGGGAUAAGGUUUCCCCAAUUUCUCCCGUGCAGUACGGUUGGACAUUGGAGCAACCAUGGUUGCAUCCGCCGGACCGCCGCCGACCGUGCGCUGUAGUCGCGGAUCUUCUGCGGGGAGCCGCGUAAGAGAGGAGAAGAGAGGAGGACCGAGGGUGGACGGGCCGUGGCUGUGCGCCGGAGGCGCCACCGCCAUCGCGCGUGGAGGCGCAUCCGUGUCGAGGCCGAAGGCCAUGGCUGAUUGGACCGCCGCCACCAUUUGAACAAGUGCGCAGUUCCACGUCCAAUGCAAUCUAGAGGUAUGAACAUGACGAAUUGAAGAAAUACCAUAUGGGUGUUGACGGUUCUUGGGUUGGAUUUUCAAUCAAUUGACCGUGGAUGUCAAUUCCCAUGUCUGUUCGUCUUUUUCUCUGCCGAUGUCUCGCUGAUGGAAGGAUGUGAACAUUCCCAAUUCCUGGUCACACAGAUUAAACAAGGAUCAAUCCAUUGCAGUUUUCCGCUGCUUACCUUUGUUGACUGAAAAUUGUGGCGAAUUUCCAGUUUCUAUUUUUUUUCUUGAUUAUAAUGAAUCUGUUUCUUCUUGAGCGUGCGUUUAAUCUAUUGUUUCCUCUCCCGUAGGAGUUCAUGUUGACACACGCUUGACACACGCUUGUGUCUCUCUUGCCGUGAACAGCGUCAUGGCUGCUGAUGUUUCUUCGAUUUCGAUUCCCCUUUUUUUUCCUUGUGAUGAAAUCACUCGCGCUGGAGGACUGGAGCCGCAGGCGCCGCCAAUCCAUGCUCCGGUCAAACACGGACGAAGGCCACGCCGCCGUCGCGCCGGUAGGGGCGGUCGCUUGCCAUCUGAUUCUGCUCCGGGAGGAGCAGGUAUGGGGUCGAGGCCCUCGGUUGUCUCCGUCGGACGCGCGCCUAUACAUUGCUCGAUUGGAGAGCAGCAAGUGCUGAUAACGUGUUUUAAGUGAAAAGUAAAGAACGAGAGAGUUUGAAUGAAAGAUGAUCCAUCAGUCUUUAUUGAUGAUAGAAGUGGGGUAUUUAUACCCAGGCGGAAGUACACAUGGUGCUUGGCGGUCAAGUAAACACAUAGUUACUUGAGAGCCAAGGAAUUACAUAGUUGCCUUGAGAACCAAGGAAGUACAUGGUUGCUUGAGAACCAAGCAACCUAUCUAACAAUUAACUUAAUCCUAAUUAGCUUAAUUAAUAAGCAACUAUUCUAUUCUUAACAAUGGCAAGAUUGCUAGUGGUAGUGGGAACUGAAAUGCUGAUGUGGCAUGCUUGCUGAGGUGGAGGGUGUGCAUGUUGAGAGAAUACCUUGUAGUGGGGAGCAACUUUUUAAGAAUGUAAAAUUAGCAGUAUAGAUUUUACUGUGUGUCUAGGUAUUUUUAUUUAGAUUUUAUGUUGUGUAUGUUAUUUUAUUUAUUUUUGCUGCUGUAGUUUUUGUUUUUUUAAAGGGAACGCAGCGCAGCAUAGCGCACUACGCGGCCCAGCUAGCCGUAGCCUAGCCGCCAGCCAGCGCAGCCGCGGCCCAGUCCCCCGUGCCUCCAGCCCCAGCGAAGCGGUACGCCGCAGUCUCGCCCGAUCCGCGCCGUGAGCCCGGACCCGACCCGCCGCCGCUUCUCUCUCUCUGUCCAGCGGGCCCCGCACCUAUCUCCUUCCUCCGGUCGGACCCACGCACAGCGCGCGCACAGGCCGAGCCGAGCCCGGAUCGAUCUACGCCCCUGUUCGAUCCCGUGCUCCUCAGGGACACCGUACGCGGGCAAGACUCCGCGAGGAACGCCGCACCCUUUCUCCCGAUUCUUUCGCUCGCCGCAUGCAGCUGCAGGGCGAAACCCGAUCUCGCGAGGCGCUCGAGCCGCCGCCGUCUUCGCCGGUCGUUUUCGCUGCCGUAAGGACACCACCGUCCACACCGUUCACUCCCCUCGACCCUCCGCUCAACGCCGCACCUUGCUGACAUAUUUUUGUCGCCGAAAUCGCAGCGGGGCGAGCCGUCGGAGCAGCGGCUGUUCACGUCGUCACCGUCACCCGCAGAGCACGCCCCGUCGUCGUUUGACCUCACCACCGCGUCCACAACUCGAAGCCACCUCCGCCCGUCACCUCACUUUCGCCGGAGACUCGCCGGAGAGCCACCGCCGCCGACGCUCGAAGCCACCGCCAUUUUUCCUCUGUUUCGGUGAGCACACGCGCGCACAGCACCACCUGAGCCAACCGCGCUGCCACAUGGCAACCAGCUACAGUACAUGCACGAACAGUGCACGAGUUUUCUGUUGUUUUAGUUUUUCUUUCCAGAUUUGUUCUCUAACUUCUUUUAGCUAUAUCUUUUAGUCUAUAUACUCUUUUUAGGUGAUUCUUUUUCCUAUGAUCUCACAAAAAUCAGCACAUUAUCACAGCACCAACUUUGCACAUGUCUGCACCUUUCAAAUUUGGAUUCGUUCAGAUUUGAAUCAAAUCUUCCGGAGGCCGUAACUUCCCAACCGUUUAAUGAAAUUUAGUUUUUCUUUUUGCAUUGUGACCGUAGUGCAUUUUAGGUGCUGUUAAGCUUCUGUUGUUGAGUUUUAAAAUGGAUUUCUUGCUGUUGGUUUUGUUUUGGUUCUAUUCGUGUUCCGGUGAUUGAUUUGUUGAAUUGUUUGAAACGUGUAGAUUGUCCGGAGUGCGACGCGAGCUAUUGUCAGGAGUGUGACUUUCUGAACCAGAACCAAGGCAAGUUAAAUGUUGAUUAUCCUUUACCUAUUGUUUUCUAUGCAUGUAGUUAUAUCACACUAUGAAUAUAUGCAUGUAUAGGAGUAUUAUAUAUGUUGGCUAUGCUGUUGAGCUAUCUUCCCGUCUUUUGCAAAUCGUGUAGUUGUAGUUUGCUAUGCUUUGUAGACGGGGGUGGUUCGUGUAUCAUUGAGUUUAUGUGAGGAUUAUAUAUGUAUAUAUAACAAUUGAGUAGUAACUCAGGAUUUAACUCACCUCUGGGCGGAAGUGGUAUUGCUUGGUGUUGAGGGAAGGCAUCAUGGGGUCUUGCACCUUUUCUAAGGCCAUGCGCUCAUGAGAGUGCACCCUAAGUGGAAUGCCGCCCAGGUACAAAAAGAUCAGACAGACCUAGUAACGAGUAGCUUCCAUGUGCGGCCACUGGCUAUAUGGGCUCUGGCUUAGUUGAUCAGUUGUUGGAACCCUUGCCCAGACUUGUCGACAGAUGUAGCAUAUGUAGGUGGGAUGUAGCCGUCAGGUGGUUAAGGGAACCUCUUCUGCAAAGACUUCGUCUCAAUCUUCGGAUUGGGUCCAGUGGGUAAAGCAUACAAAACUCUGUAGAGUAUUAAAACUAAUCAUGAUUAGCCGUGCCCCCAGUUAUGGGCAAAUCUGAGCCACUAUGCCAUUACAGUUGUUGGAUGAUCGUGACAGAUGUGACACUUAAUAAUAUUUGUGGGAAACUUAAUAAUGGGUAGGUUGGAGUUGAUUUUGCCAACUCAACCUUGUUCAUUUAAUUGUAGUAAUAAAAGAACUAAAUAAAAUUUGACUAUUAGGUAGUUAUGAGGACAAAAUCAGCUUUCCGCAAAAUAAACCCUAAAGCCUUCCUUUUGUUAUACUAUGCAUAUACAUGUAGGUCUGCUAUAUUAUUACUCCUGUGUAACUUGCCAAUACAUUCAAAUUAUUGACCUAUAUGGCUGCAACAUCUCAUGUUGCAGGAUAUUCAGACGAAGAGUAAGGUACCGUUAGGGUCGCGAGUCUGCACUCAGCAUCGCCAGUGGGCUAUGAUGGGACUCAUCGUUAUUUUCUGCUACUUUCCACUAUUUGAUUGAAUAAAGCUAGCCAAGUGCUAUGCAGAUUGUUUUAUUUUAUAAACACUAGAUCAUACGUUGUAAUAAAUGGUGCACAUGCUAUUGUGGUAUUCAUCUAUAUUGUGUGUGCUAGCGAGUUCGAUCCAGGGACUAGCACAGUAAGCACAGAGACUCAAAUCCUUCGAGGUUUGGUCGUUACACACAGCAUAGUCCUAAGCAUGUGAUUUAUACACUGCAUAUACUGGUAUUUUGAUAUAUGUUUUCAUCGAUAAUUUUUUUGCUUCAU